GGGGGCGUUUAUGGAUUCGACGGGGGUAGUUCGAGCAUGGGUUGCGGGUAGUGGGGACGCGUCCGCUUCAUCAACGCUAAAGCCUAUUAAAUGGCAAACAACAACCAACCUACGCUGUAGCAGCUUAAUAACCUGUUCGCGUGCUCUCGCUCUGUAUCGCCCAUGUACCGGGAUGAGGGCCCAACUUUAGUGGGAUACGCUGUCACAUCUCCGCCUGGGGUGUGCUGAAGAAGACAAUCAGGCUGACCUAGAUCGAAGCCGGUUACGGGGCGUCGGCCUAGGUGACAUCAAAACUGUGACUACACCCGUAGAAGCCUGUGUGCCGUUAUCUUCGGACAGGGGUUCAACUCCCCUCGCCUCCACCA
rfam:Paenibacillus beijingensis strain DSM 24997, complete genome.